GUGAAUCAUCGAAUUUUUGAACGCAAAUUGCACCCUCUUCGGAGAGUAUGACUGUUUGAGGGUCAGCCUAAAAAAAAUCGACAUAGUCGUUGUUUCGCGGUGACAUUUGUCGGAAAUUGGGUCAUCUUAAGACUUUGGGUUUUAAGAGGUUUAAAAUUUUCUUUACGAUUCCACGAACGUAUCUAAGAUUUACUUCUUAUAAGUUUAAGGUAUGGAUCUUUAUUAGACGUGGCCGAUGAAUCGGUACUAGUCCAUAAAUAUUUGGU
rnacentral:misc_RNA from 1 species